UACGUAGGGUGCGAGCGUUAAUCGGAAUUACUGGGCGUAAAGCGUGCGCAGGCGGUUUUGUAAGUCAGAUGUGAAAUCCCCGGGCUUAACCUGGGAACUGCGUUUGAAACUACAAGGCUAGAGUGUGGCAGAGGGGGGUGGAAUUCCCGGUGUAGCGGUGAAAUGCGUAGAUAUGCGGAGGAACACCGAUGGCGAAGGCAAUCCCCUGGGCCUGCACUGACGCUCAUGCACGAAAGCGUGGGGAGCAAACAGG
rnacentral:rRNA from 1 species